ensembl:miRNA Mir192 microRNA 192
GUGCACAAGGCUCUGACCUAUGAAUUGACAGCCAGUGCGCUGUCUCCCCCUGGCUGCCAAUUCCAUAGGUCACAGGUAUGUUCGCC